UACGUAGGGGGCAAGCGUUGUCCGGAAUCAUUGGGCGUAAAGAGCGUGUAGGCUGCUUCGCAAGUCGGAUGUGAAAGCCCUGGGCUCAACCCAGGAAGUGCAUUCGAAACUGCAGAGCUGGAGUCCUGGAGAGGAAGGCGGAAUUCUCGGUGUAGAGGUGAAAUUCGUAGAUAUCGAGAGGAACACCGGUGGCGAAGGCGGCCUUCUGGACAGUGACUGACGCUGAGACGCGAAAGCGUGGGGAGCAAACAGG
rnacentral:rRNA from 1 species